UUAAACUGGAUUGCAAUUCUUGAAACUCGUUCAUUUCAUUUUGUCUAACAAUGAAGGAAUUAAAAUUUGUUUAUAUUAGUAUUUUGUUUGGUUUCCAUGGAUAACAAGAAAAUCUCAGUUUUCAUCACCGAGAGAUAUGUUGUACCUAUCUUGGUAUUUCAUUGUUUAUUUAAAACUACAGAAAAAGCUCUUUUCGUACAAUGUGUGCCAUAUUCAGUAUCACUGCUUUCUGCAUUUGAAGGAGGUUGUGUUUUCCAGAACUUCUCUGAUGGUGUUGGAUGUUGGAAGUACCAUUGGAUAUUAUACUAGUUGCUUCUAUGAUGAUAGGUAUUACUUUCGUUUUAAGAUUCCACAUUCUCUGUAUUUCAAUCUGCAGCUCCUUAUAUUUCAAUAAUUUCUCUGCUUCUUUUUGUAUUAUAUUGUAGUCCAAUGGUGUUGCUACAUCUAUCAAUAGGCAUCGCCUUUAAUUAUCCUUUAUUAUUAGGUCUGGUUUUUUGCUAGUACCUUUUUGUCUGUCUGUACUUAAGUGUCCAGUAUUAUUGUAACUUCUUGUGUGUUUAUUAUUGGUUCCGGGUUAUGCUGGUACCACUUGGUGUCUACUUCAAUGUUGUAUUCUUUACUUAUAUUUGAAUGUAGUUGUUUUGCAAUGGCAUUGUGUCGCUCUAAAUAAGCUCGUUUUGAUGGGACAGUCUUCAUAUUCUUCAUUAUUUUAUCUAUCGUGUAAUCUGUGGCAAUGGCUUUUGUUUUGUUCUUAGGGUUUGCGUAUUUGAGCUAUGCCAAUGCCUACUUUUGGUUUACUGUUUCUUUUGCAAUUUGUCCAACCAAGCAGCGGGUUUGGAGCUCCAUUUUUCUUUCUGCUCCAAUUUUAUUGCCUGUUUUAUUUGGUGUUUUAAUCUCUUUACUAUUUUUGUUUUUGGUUUUGCCGGAUUGUCCUCUUCUAUUAGUUCUUCGUGUAUCUCAUCUUCAUUUUUCAUGUUUUUUUCAUUAUUAUUAAUUAAUUAUUAAUCUUUAAAGCUUAAAAUUUAUCUAUAAGGUAUUUUAUUUAAUGUGGUUUUAAUUUUAAUUUAGAUUUUUCCCAAUUGUUAAAUUUUUUUGAGAUUUGUAAUUUUUGGGACUGAAUUUUUCAAAUUAAUGCUGCAUUCAUGGGUGACAAUCAUAUCAUUCUAACGAGGUUUAAAAUGUUUUCCCUGUUUGUAUGGCAUGUUUUAUAAUCAAAUGAUACAAAUUAUUGAAGUUUAGUUUUUUCUCUUUUCUGUAAAGAAGUGAACAGCUAAUAUAUUUAUGUAAUAUUAAUAAUUAGGUGAUAUAACUGUAAUUAGCUUGAUAAAGAUUAAAACGUAGACUUUCUUUAUAAUAUAACUUCCUUCUAUUUUGGUUAUUCAUGAGUAUGGUUCAGUCGCGUAUGGCCUAAAUGGAGACUCGUUAGAAGAACUUGAUCUCUGCGAUUUUUCUUUCUUUCUUUCCCUUCACGAAGUUCGUGGACGUUGAACAUUUGUUCUCCCAUUCAUUGAGCACUCCGCACUAUCAAUAUUUACAACUUUCUUAGCGGCCAGGUCUGGUAUUCUUUGUUGUUGUCUUGUAUAUAUUGCAGUUGUUCCUUGAUUUUGAUUGCUAAGGAAUUUGUGGUGGGAAAGGAAAUUUGAGAGUAUUAGGUGAUUUAGUUUCGUUUGAUGAAGCGGGGAUGUAUGUCGCUUGAUAUAUUGCAUAUAAUUCAGCAGUGAAAGUGGAUAGGGUUGGAGGAGCUUUUAGCAUAUAUUUGGAGGUUGGUGUAAUGAUUGCGAUACCCUUAUCGGCUUAAGAUUUCAAUGUGUCUGUGUAAAAUGAGUACCCAUUGAGUAUGUUAUUAAAAUAUCCUUUGAUUAGCAUAUGGUUGGUGUAGUGUUUGUCGAUUGAGGUGAGCUGGGUAAUGAAUUUGGUGCUUUCUAUUGUUCAUGGUGGAGGGUAAGAAGUUUAAAUGGGCAGGCAUUCGGGAAGGAAGAAAUUUAAUUCGCUUAGAUAAGAUCUAAUUCUAGCAUAGGAAAGUUUGGAGAUUCUGAGUUUAUUUGAAAAAAGAUUUGGAAAUAUCUCGGAGAAACAAUUUUGGAUGAUUAGAUGGUAUGAUUGGAUUUUACUUUGGUGAAUACGUUUCGCUGAAAUAUAUUCUUCUGUUUCCUGUGUGUGGUCAAAUAGUAUACCAAGAAAUUUUAUUGAUGUUUCCAUUUUAAUGUCUUGGGAUGGUCCCAUUCCCUAAAUUAAUAAAGUAUUCCAAUAAUUCAGCAUUAAUUUGUUUUAUAAACAUUGAUCAUUUGAAUUUUGAGGAUUUUCUUCGUAAUGCAAUGCAUAUGUGUAAUUUGAAAUUUACAAGUGCUCCAGAACGCUUCAUAGAACCAUAAUUAAAAAUUCGUAAGUAGAAGAAUAGUUUAAGCAAUAAAUUUAUUUUACAUUUAUGAUUGGUUAUGGACGUUUUCAAAUGAUAUUAUUUUGAAGAUUAUCUGUUUGCUGAACUAUUGAAUUUGGGAUACUGAAUAGGACUUCGGAAAGGUUUCUUUUUGUACAAGUACAUUGAUUUUUUCAACAAUAGUACUGUAUGUGGUAGUGAAGUAACUUCACAUCCUUCCAUAUUCCAUAAAAAUAAAAUUCCAUUUUGAACUAGGUACAAAAAUGCACAGACACAUCACAAUUUAUGAUACUGUUAAAACUAAUACCUCAAAAUUCAUCAAAUUUCAGGAAGAAUUGUAAAAAAUUAGUGAUAUAGUUGUGUAGAAGGUUUUGAACAAAUUAUUAUUUGUAGACUGUAUUGGUAUUACUUAUGAAUAUGACUAAAAGUGUUUAGUGUUUAGAAACAUGAAAUUUAGUUGCUAGACUAAAAAUCAUUUCACAAUCGAAAUUACAAAAUAAUACAAUCAAUUUCGUUUAUCAGUACAUAAAGUUUAUAAAACUGAUAUACAAAACAGAUAUUGUAAUUUUAAUUCAAGUUAUACCUACUCGUAAAAUUCACUGUUAAUUUAGAUGAAGUAACCAGAACCUGUAUUUACAAAAA